rnacentral:rRNA from 1 species
GUUAGGAAUAUUGGGCAAUGGAGGAAACUCUGACCCAGCAACGCCGCGUGAAGGAUGAAGGUUUUCGGAUUGUAAACUUCUGUUCUAUGGGAAAAAACAAAUGAUGGUACCAUAGGAGAAAGCCACGGCUAACUACGUGCCAGCAGCCGCGGUAAUACGUAGGUGGCAAGCGUUGUUCGGAAUGACUGGGCGUAAAGGGAGCGUAGGUUGUUUUUUAAGUUAAAUGUGAAAGCCCGGGGCUUAACUCCGGAAUGCCAUUUAAUACUGGAAGACUAGAGUGCAGGAGGGGUGAGCGGAAUUCCUAGUGUAGCGGUGGAAUGCGUAGAUAUUAGGAAGAACACCAGAGGCGAAGGCGGCUCACUGGACUGUUACUGACACUGAGGCUCGAAAGCGUGGGGAGCAAACAGGAUUAGAUACCCCAGUAGUCC